GGACCAAGGAGUUCCAGAGCACGAUGCUACGAGUCUUUGGCAGCGCCAUUGCUGACGCGUAAUNNNNNNUGACCAUGAAGGCAGCCUCGCUCAGUGCCUAAGGGAAGACGCGCGACAUUGACUAGUCGACAUCGUACAUCUCAAGACAGUUUCAUUUGCUUUCUUAUUGACGGGUAAAAAGGCGAACCUUUGCCAGCUGUACUCGCUGGGACCC
rnacentral:rRNA from 1 species